AACCACUCAAAGCCACAGUUUUGCUGGGAUUGACUAAUCACCAGAGACUCCUCUGCUUUUCUUAGCAUGUGCAGCCAAGAAUGAAGCAGAUCAAGGAUCCAGGAAGCCAGAAAAGAAGAAGUGCUCCCAAAAGAACACAUCCUUUUCCAGUUUCAAUUGGUUAAGUUCAAACCAUUUAAAAUCAUUAGCUGAUGUCUCCAGGCAAAUGAGGACUUCUGCAAAGUAGACAAAUUGAUUAUUAUUCACCUAAGCCUGAAAACCACAGAUGCUGCCGUGAAUGUGAAAGUCAACCCAGCCUUAGGACACUGCUUGUCAUAGGCCACAGCAUGGGCUUAAGGAAAACAGAAGGAUGCGCUCUUCACUGUGCCCUUAUUGUUUAUUUAGCCUUGGUGUGCUGUAUUUUAAAUCCCCUAGAAGGCAUCAGAGUAAAGCAUAAAUAUGCAUAUGACACCAGCAAAGUUAUCUCCCAACUUUACAAUGUGUCAGGCAGUUUCAAGUCCAUUUUCCAAUAAAUUUCACAUUUACUCUUAGUGAGUCAGGGACAAAUAACACCAAAGCUAGCUUACCUUGGACAAAAUGUAAAUUCUGAGCUAUCGCAUUUCUGAGAGCUCCAUCAAGCUGAAGAAAUCUCUUCAGUGCCGGCCACUGGGGCAGGUUUUGCAGCAAGCUUUGCAAUUUCCACAGAUGCUGUAAUCUGAGGGCAAAAAUAAAUAAAUGAAAUAAAAUGAAAAGUAGUUCGAAGUGCCAAUUAGGGAAAUAAAAAUUCCGUUCAAAGGAAAAUAUUCCACUGCUUUGAGAAGUGUGUUCACUAGACUGAAAGUCACACUUCAUCACACAACCAGGUUCUUGACAAAUUGCAUUGAGUCACCUGAUUGGGAGAUUCUUUCAAUACUGAAUAUGGAUUAAACAUUCUCUUUACCCCAAAAUGGGAAAGUAUAUUCCUAGGUGUGUGUAAAAGAAGUGAGGGUUAGGAUAAAG
rnacentral:lncRNA from 10 species